AACGCGAAGUUGUCUUCGGACAGCGAGUAGAGUGGCGCACGGGUGAGUAACGCGUAGAUAAUCUACCCCCAUAUCUGGGAUAACAUCGGGAAACUGGUGCUAAUACCGGAUACACUUAUUAAUUCGCAAGGAUAUAUAAGGAAAGGAGACCUCUUCAUGAAAGUUUCUGUAUAGGGAUGAGUCUGCGUACCAUUAGCUAGUUGGUGGGGUAAUGGCCUACCAAGGCAACGAUGGUUAGCGGGUCUGAGAGGAUGAUCCGCCACACUGGAACUGGAACACGGACCAGACUCCUACGGGAGGCAGCAGUGAGGAAUAUUGCGCAAUGGGGGCAACCCUGACGCAGUGACGCCGCGUGAGUGAAGAAGGUCUUCGGGUCGUAAAGCUCUGUCAGGUGGGAAGAAGUGAUUAUAGGUUAAUACCCUAUAGUUUUGACGGUACCACCAAAGGAAGCACCGGCUAAAUCCGUGCCAGCAGCCGCGGUAAUACGGAUGGUGCGAGCGUUGUUCGGAAUCACUGGGCGUAAAGGGCGCGUAGGCGGUAAUGUAAGUCAGAUGUGAAAGUCCAGGGCUCAACCCUGGAAGUGCAUCUGAAACUGCAUAACUAGAGUAUUGGAGAGGAAAGUGGAAUUCCUGGUGUAGAGGUGAAAUUCGUAGAUAUCAGGAGGAAUACCGGAGGCGAAGGCGA
rnacentral:rRNA from 1 species